CAUAUAUGACAGCUGUAUGCAACACACAUGAUGGAAAAGAAAAUGUUCUAUUUCAUCUCACCAACAUAGUAGAGUACUAUAAACACAAUUAGAAUCAUAACCAACCUCUAACUCCAACCAACCUCUAACCCUAAAAUACUAGACCCUAAACCAACCCACCUCUAAAUCAUAAAUACUAACCCCUAAACUCGAAUUCAUAAACCCAAACCCAAUGUAAAAUAUCUUUUAUAAAUUAAAAUACAAAAUAGUAUAGAAUUAACUAUUCUAUUUCAUCUCACCAACGUAGUAUAAUACUAAAACCAUCAGAAUCACAACCAACCUCCAACACUGAAAUACUAAACCCUAAACCAACCCACCUUAAAGCCAUAUAUACUAAACCCUAAACCCGAAUUCAUAAACCCAAACCCAAAUAUAAAAUAUCUUUAAUAAAUUAAAAUACGAAAAUAGUAAAAUUUAACUGUUCUAUUUCAUCUCACCAACAUAGUAUAGUACUAUAACCAUAAUCAGAAUCACAACCAACCUCCAACCUCAACCAACCUCCGACCCUGAAAUACUAGACCCUGAACAAACCCACCUGGAAGCCCUAAAUACUAAACCCAAAACCUGAAUUCAUAAACCCAAACUCAAAUGUAAAAAUAAUUUAAAUAAAUCAAAAUACGGAAAUAGUAUAUAAUUACUUGUUCUAUUUCAUCUAACCAACGUUAUAUAAUACAUAUUGAUCACAUUUUGAAGUGUUUAUGAUUGCAGAGAAGGAGGUAAUGCUUACACCAAAUUCAAAUUGACGCAUAUGGAAUGUGAUUCUUCCAGUGUAAGCAACAAAAAGGAAGAAGAUACAUAGAGUUGGAGUCACUACAUAAAACAUUACUACAACACGAAGGUAGUUUAGAUGGUAGUAUCUAAAAACAAGAAGCAAAGUUAGAACAUAAAAACAAUGCUUAGAAACCAUAAACCCAUGUCUACACGUCCUGGGUGAGUGCUCUGGCUUGACACAGUGCCAGUGUUUCAAUCAAGUAGUUCUCCGCAGCUACACAAACAUUUUCUUCAGUGAAAUCCACACACUUCAAUUCCAUCCCAACAACGUGUAUUUAUAACAUAAUAAGUGUCACUACAGCGGAGCAACCUAUACAAAGCCAAAGUCGCUUAGUUCUAUAAAAACAUUUAUUCUAAGCCAAAUGUAUUUGUCUUGGAAUCACAAAGAGAAUAUGACAUGAGCGAACUACAGUCGAUACAUAGCACAAGAUAAACAUUUCUAUUUAUAUGGAAUAGUAAAUCUAUAUAUGCCAUGGUACACAUGGUUACAUAGAAUGGAAUUGUUAUACAUUACCAUUUGCGACGAGUGAACUCCACUCGAUACAUAAAACAAGAUAAUUAUUUCUAUUUGAUAUAGUAUUGUAUAUAUACGUAUAAUUUGGAACAGAAAAGUACAUUGAAUGGAAUAUAAAUUCUAAAUACAAUUUAAGCUAUUCCAUGUCACAUAGCAUAGACCGAUCAAAUAGCUCUACAUAUACUAUCUUUGUCUCGAUUCCAAACAAAAUUACCAUAGACUUCGAUGUAAACAGAUGAGUAAGACAAAUCGGUAAAAGUUCAGCCAUAAAUCGAUUCGGUGACCUUUGUCUACUAGAUCCGACAUGCAACCCAAAUAGGGAAAAAGAGCAUCGCAAGAAUAGAAUCUAAAACACACACCCUAGAACUUACAGUAGUGCAAUAGAUCUGAGACAAAGCGCCGAUGUGAAUGGAAAAAUGGUCAGUGUGCUCCUUCUCCCCGAUUGGACUGUCACGACGUCUUUUCGCAAUAGAUUUCCAAAGUGGAGACGAUUCCCUUUGCAACACAAUUAGAGAAAGAAAUAAACUCAGAGAACACAGACGGUGGCGAUGGGGAGGAGUGAAACGUGGUUGGAAGAGGUGGAGAAAAUCAUGGAUCAAUUUUUCAAAAAUUACCAAAUAAAGGUAAAAUGAAAGAUGUGAAUAUGAUUACGCCACGAGUAAUUGGAAACAGCUAAUAACUAGGAUUUUUUUAUUUUUAUUUUCUUCAGGUUUCACCGGUAGAAUGAAAGGGUAUUUUGGCAAUAUUAUAGGUAAGACAGAUGGUGUAUCGAUAUAUAAGAGAAAUUGGCUAGAAGGUGAAUUAUGGUUUUUUUCAGCGUCAUACAGCCAAAUUUCCCUUGAAAAAUAACCUUCAAAAAAUCACCUAUAUUAGAAAGCAAAAAUAAAAUAAAAAAAUAUAUAUAUAUUAGAGGAAAACUGUUUAGUUAAUAAUAAUUUAUUUGUUUAAGAACAUUAUGGCCCAACAAGAUAAUAUAACAAGCUGAUAUAACCCAAAACCUCAAAUCCAUAGAUAUGUUCGUAUAUGUCAAAAAUUAAAUGAAAAACCCAAACUAAUUCAACACGUAAUGUCUAAUAGAGUAGUCUGUGUUAAUAAAUGAAGUUAGUUAGUAUCAGUUUCGUAAUCCCUUUUUUUUCCUUAUUUUUUU
rnacentral:lncRNA from 1 species